GUAGUCAUAUGCUUGUCUCAAAGAUUAAGCCAUGCAUGUCUAAGUAUAAACAACUUAUACUGUGAAACUGCGAAUGGCUCAUUAAAUCAGUUAUAGUUUAUUUGAUAAUACCUACUACUUGGAUAACCGUAGUAAUUCUAGAGCUAAUACAUGCGAAAAAACCCGACUUCUGGAAGGGUUGUAUUUAUUAGAUACAAAACCAAUGCGGGGCAACCCGGUUCUUUGGUGAGUCAUAAUAACUUUGCGGAGCGUAUGGCCUUGUGCUGACGCCGAUUCAUUCAAAUUUCUGCCCUAUCAACUUUCGAUGGUAAGGUAUUGGCUUACCAUGGUUGCAACGGGUAACGGGGAAU
rnacentral:rRNA from 1 species